rnacentral:rRNA from 1 species
GUUUGAUCCUGGCUCAGGAUGAACGCUGGCGGCGUGCCUAAUACAUGCAAGUCGAACGCUUCACUUCGGUGAAGAGUGGCGAACGGGUGAGUAAUACAUAAGUAACCUGGCAUCUACAGGGGGAUAACUGAUGGAAACGUCAGCUAAGACCGCAUAGGUGUAGAGAUCGCAUGAACUCUAUAUGAAAAGUGCUACGGGACUGGUAGAUGAUGGACUUAUGGCGCAUUAGCUUGUUGGUAGGGUAACGGCCUACCAAGGCGACGAUGCGUAGCCGACCUGAGAGGGUGACCGGCCACACUGGGACUGAGACACGGCCCAGACUCCUACGGGAGGCAGCAGUAGGGAAUUUUCGGCAAUGGGGGAAACCCUGACCGAGCAACGCCGCGUGAAGGAAGAAGUAAUUCGUUAUGUAAACUUCUGUCAUAGAGGAAGAACGGUGGAUAUAGGGAAUGAUAUCCAAGUGACGGUACUCUAUAAGAAAGCCACGGCUAACUACGUGCCAGCAGCCGCGGUAAUACGUAGGUGGCGAGCGUUAUCCGGAAUUAUUGGGCGUAAAGAGGGAGCAGGCGGCACUAAGGGUCUGUGGUGAAAGAUCGAAGCUUAACUUCGGUAAGCCAUGGAAACCGUAGAGCUAGAGUGUGUGAGAGGAUCGUGGAAUUCCAUGUGUAGCGGUGAAAUGCGUAGAUAUAUGGAGGAACACCAGUGGCGAAGGCGACGAUCUGGCGCAUAACUGACGCUCAGUCCCGAAAGCGUGGGGAGCAAAUAGGAUUAGAUACCCUAGUAGUCCACGCCGUAAACGAUGAGUACUAAGUGUUGGGGGUCAAACCUCAGUGCUGCAGUUAACGCAAUAAGUACUCCGCCUGAGU